rnacentral:rRNA from 1 species
ACUGGUGGCGAGCGGCGGACGGGUGAGUAAUGCCUAGGAAUCUGCCUAGUAGUGGGGGAUAACGUCCGGAAACGGGCGCUAAUACCGCAUACGUCCUACGGGAGAAAGUGGGGGAUCUUCGGACCUCACGCUAUUAGAUGAGCCUAGGUCGGAUUAGCUAGUUGGUGAGGUAAUGGCUCACCAAGGCGACGAUCCGUAACUGGUCUGAGAGGAUGAUCAGUCACACUGGAACUGAGACACGGUCCAGACUCCUACGGGAGGCAGCAGUGGGGAAUAUUGGACAAUGGGCGAAAGCCUGAUCCAGCCAUGCCGCGUGUGUGAAGAAGGUCUUCGGAUUGUAAAGCACUUUAAGUUGGGAGGAAGGGCAGUUACCUAAUACGUGAUUGUUUUGACGUUACCGACAGAAUAAGCACCGGCUAACUCUGUGCCAGCAGCCGCGGUAAUACAGAGGGUGCAAGCGUUAAUCGGAAUUACUGGGCGUAAAGCGCGCGUAGGUGGUUUGUUAAGUUGGAUGUGAAAGCCCCGGGCUCAACCUGGGAACUGCAUCCAAAACUGGCAAGCUAGAGUAUGGUAGAGGGUGGUGGAAUUUCCUGUGUAGC